GACGAACGCUGGCGGCGUGCUUAACACAUGCAAGUCGAACGGAAAGGCCCUGCUUUUGUGGGGUGCUCGAGUGGCGAACGGGUGAGUAACACGUGAGUAACCUGCCCUUGACUUUGGGGUAACUUCAGGGAACUGGGGCUAAUACCGGGUAGGAGCUCCUGCUGCAUGGUGGGGGUUGGAAAAUUUCGGCGGUUGGGGAUGGACUCGCGGCUUAUCAGCUUGUUGGUGGGGUAGUGGCUUACCAAGGCUUUGACGGGUAGCCGGCCUGAGAGGGUGACCGGCCACAUUGGGACUGAGAUACGGUCCAGACUCCUACGGGAGGCAGCAGUGGGGAAUAUUGCACAAUGGGCGGAAGCCUGAUGCAGCAACGCCGCGUGCGGGAUGACGGCCUUCGGGUUGUAAACCGCUUUCGCCUGUGACGAAGCGUGAGUGACGGUAAUGGGUAAAGAAGCACCGGCUAACUACGUG
rnacentral:rRNA from 1 species